GGAACGGUCCAGGCCGUGACAGGCCUACACAGGUGGGGCAGCGCCUGGCGAGGCCUGUCGCCUAGCGGGUCGUGGGAAUCCACCUUAAGUAUCGCAUUAUAUUGACCCAAAAAGUU